CCUACGGGUGGCAGCAGUGAGGAAUAUUGGUCAAUGGGCGCGAGCCUGAACCAGCCAAGUCGCGUGAGGGAAGAAGGUCCUAUGGAUUGUAAACCUCUUUUGUCGGGGAGCAAAAGACGCCACGCGUGGCGUUCCGAGAGUACCCGAAGAAAAAGCAUCGGCUAACUCCGUGCCAGCAGCCGCGGUAAUACGGAGGAUGCGAGCGUUAGCCGGAUUUAUGGGGUUUAAAGGGUGCGCAGGCGGAAGAUCAAGUCAGAGGUAAAAUUGAGAGGCUCAACCUCUUCGAGCCGUUGAAACUGGUUUUCUUGAGUGAGCGAGAGGUAUGCGGAAUGCGUGGUGUAGCGGUGAAAUGCAUAGAUAUCACGCAGAACUCCGAUUGCGAAGGCAGCAUACCGGCGCUCAACUGACGCUGAGGCACGAAAGCGUGGGGAUCGAACAGGAUUAGAUACCCCUGUAGUC
rnacentral:rRNA from 1 species